AAUGGUUUCGACGGGGGUAAGUUGCUCCUGGGAAGCGAGUCGAAGGGAUCCUGUACCUGCGUUAAAAAACUGGGAAUUUAAAUAUAAUUGCAAACGAUAAUUUUGCAUUAGCUGCCUAAUAGUUGCAGCUCGUCAGCCUAAGAGUCCCACGACUUAGGGUCUGGCGUCGACAGUGGGGAACCGAGCCUUACAAAGCUUUGAGUAAGGAACGGAAUUAAUGAAGCUACUGAAUCUAAGAGCCUGUUUAUCAGCGCUUAGAGGAGGGAAUGUAAAAGGAUAAACUGCACUCGGAGAUGCCCAGGGGUUGCUGCUUUCGGACAGGGGUUCGAUUCA
rnacentral:tmRNA from 1 species